rnacentral:tRNA from 2 species
GGGCGCUUAGCUCAGUUGGUAGAGCAGCUGACUCUUAAUCAGCGGGUCGAAGGUUCGAGCCCUUCAGCGCCCACCA